rnacentral:rRNA from 1 species
CAGCCGCCACGGGAAUACGGAGGGAGCUAGCGUUGUUCGGAAUUACUGGGCGUAAAGCGCGCGUAGGCGGUUACUCAAGUCAGAGGUGAAAGCCCGGGGCUCAACCCCGGAACUGCCUUUGAAACUAGGUGACUAGAAUCUUGGAGAGGUCAGUGGAAUUCCGAGUGUAGAGGUGAAAUUCGUAGAUAUUCGGAAGAACACCAGUGGCGAAGGCGACUGACUAAACAAGUAUUGACGCUGAGGUGCGAAAGCGUGGGGAGCAAACAGGAUUAGAUACCCGCGUAGUCCCUGUCUCUUAUAC